CAGGAGGUCAUUUUGUUCCUUUCCAGGCUAGGGCACAGGUCAUCCAGUGUGGUCAGAUGGCAGCCCCUUAACUGUCGCUCUUCCUGCCCACUCCCUUUCUGCCCAGGGAAUUAAGUCCUAGAGGAUAAUACUUGGAUUGUCUUCAGCAGCAGUCUCGUGGACUUCUAAAAGCUGCUGGCAACAACCCCAGGACAAUGGGGGACCCACCAGGGGGUAGGGGAACCUGGCAAGAAACAGUGGUGCUACCAGAUGUGUUUCUCAGACAAGGCCAAGUUCUGAAAGUAGCAGGGACUCAGCAACAUUUCCACCCUGUUCAAUUUUAAUCUGCCUCCCAAGCUGAGAUCUUCAAGAAGCAAACUCUGAGGUGGAGAUAAGGCUGCAGGACAUUUGUUAGUGACAAUCACUGGACAUCAGUUGGUCACAAGUGGGUAGAGGGAGAAGCUGAGCUGCACUGCAGUCUACGUCACAACCCCAGCUGACCUCAGAGAGCUUGGGAGAUGAAAUGAUCUUCAGUUGUCCCCAGUCAGGGGUGAAUCUUUAUACUCUGUUGAUCUGUCAGUGGGUGCAGGCUGGCCUAGGAAGGAGGUGUGACCCAGCACAGUCCCGGAAGGGCUGCUGGACUCCCCCAAACUGGAGACUGUUCUGCAUUCCUGGAGAGGGUCUAGGCUGGGGUACAUCGAAGCUUUAACCACUCCCAGUGGUGACAUUUUAGAUGGCAGGGAACAAAAGCUGUUUUGGACCUGCCACUUGGCACGUCCCUUUCAGCUUUAUGGGGAGGCCCCAGUGGCAAGA
rnacentral:lncRNA from 1 species